GCAGCAUCAGCAUCAGCAGCUGAAGAAGAAGAAGAAUAAGAGGAAGAAUUACUAACGGCAGCAGUAGGUGGUACUACAACGUUAACCCAUUGGUGCCCCACUGGGUGACCAGCAUGACCGUGUUGCUCGGCAAAUCCCAAGUCGCUGGAAUGGACAACUGAAUUCCCCGGUGUUUCCCACUCGGACCUAACCUCACUUUAUCUUUGUAAAAACUCGUUUAUCGCACGUGCUUGGGCAUGGACUAAGAACAACAGGAUACUAGGAUAACUCAAAGCCACUAGGACCUUCGAAUAAAAACAAAAAAAAACGCUUCCAAUUGCAGGAAAAACGACUUGAAUAACGGCAGCCCAUCGGUUGGGACUUGAUCCAAACUGGCCCAUCAAUUUUGGUUCUCCUACCCGCCACCGGGCGCUGGCGGCGGUUCCUCAAAUAGUAAAAAUUCGCAAACGGACGAGGAAAAGCAGCGCGAUCGACAGCGAAACGAACGUGAGGCGAGAAAGGAAGAGCAGGACGCCAUUAACUACAAGGAACUCGAAAGCACAACAUCAUCAUCCUCCACGCAGCAGACAUUUCCCGGCAGCGCAGUUGCAGCGUGCAGAACAGCGAC
rnacentral:misc_RNA from 1 species